GACGAACGCUGGCGGCGUGCUUAACACAUGCAAGUCGAACGAGAGGACAUGGGAAGCUUGCUUCCUAUGAAAUCGAGUGGCAAACGGGUGAGUAACGCGUAAACAACCUGCCCUUCGGAUGGGGAUAACAGCCGGAAACGGCUGCUAAUACCGAAUACGAUCUUUUCGUCGCAUGACGGAAAGAAGAAAGGAUGGCCUCUAUACAAAGCUAUCGCCGAAGGAGGGGUUUGCGUCUGAUUAGCUGGUUGGAGGGGUAACGGCCCAACAAGGCGAUGAUCAGUAGCCGGUCUGAGAGGAUGAACGGCCACAUUGGGACUGAGACACGGCCCAGAC
rnacentral:rRNA from 1 species